rnacentral:tmRNA from 1 species
GGGGGCGAUCGGUUUCGACGUGGGGACUGAAGGAUAACUUGCGUGCGGUGGCACCCGCCCCACCUACCAAGCGGGCCGUUUAAUUGCGAACGACAACGCAAUCGCUCUCGCGGCCUAAUAAACCGUGAAGCCGUCCAACCGUGAGAUCGUCCUGGUAACGGAAGGGCGUCAGCACUAGGGCUGGCCACCGCAGUGCGCCUCUGGCGGCGGUGGUGAGAAACACAGGGGCUAGGUCGUGGCCGAAUCCACGAACCCAGCCGACGGGGACGCGUCGGCUACGCACGUGAACGAGAGUUGUCCGGAUGCCUUGCGGACCCGGGUUCGAUUCCCGGCGCCUCCACCC